rnacentral:lncRNA from 1 species
CGUGUUUGGUUUCUCUCUUAACUCGACUAAUUGAAGAUGCUGCCUCUUGUAUGAAAGACGACAAAAGUAGAAAUUACUAUACUCUCAGAAAAUUAGAGAUUUUGUCGCCUUUUCUCGUUUGUAAUUUUUUUAUACCUACAUUUAAAAAAAUUGCAACAUUUGCCGCCCCCUAUAGAUUUGCCGCCAUGGGCCGCGGCCCAUGUGGCCACCCCCCUUAAUCCGGCCCUGUUCUAGAUGUAAAGAAAGUUUGCGAGAACUUAUCAAAUGCUGAAUUACCCGCCCCAGCAGUAAGUUCUACAUCUUGGCAUUGCUAAAAUAACUGCUGUAGCGGGUAAUUCAGCAUGUGAUAAGUUCUCGCACACUUUUUUACAUCUAGAACGUUAAAUCAACUUUCCUUUUUUUUCGGUGUGGUAUGUAGGGUGUCGGGGGAUUGUAACAUUUUGAUCUCGAAACGGGGCUAGAGCUAACAAAUUCCUUUAUUCCAAGUGCGUGAAAAUUAUAAUCUGCAUGUGUCACGUUAUUGUCGAUCCGAGUAUAAAACUCCUUCACUUACCAGAGUAUGCAAAAUGCCAUUCCGUUACGGUAUAGUUACGGAUCGCUCGAUACUGUGAGCAAAUGAAGAGGCUGGGAUUUCGGUCAUGGUUGGCAACAGGGUCCUAGCGAGCUGCAGCUGCGGCGCGGGCGGGCAGCGGCGGACGCGGUGUUGUCGCUGUUCAUUUUAAUUACGUUGUGUCCAAGGGGAAAUUGGAAGGAUUUUCGAUGAGAAGGGCAGCGUGGGACGGGCGGCGGCGACGCGACGCUGCGGGUCGGAGCGCCGCCGUCGCGCGUCGCGCCGGUUGAAAUUCAAAAUAGUCGUUGAUUCACUGUCGAGGCGGGCGUGCGUCGCGUCGCUCCCAGCUGCUGCGUUCUUUGUUUCUUUGUUUACCUUCCCGCGGUGCAGCAUGGAGUUCUCCGUCAACGCGCUCAUAGCCGAGGUGCAGAAAAGGCCUCACCUCUGGAAUGUGCACCACAAGCUGUACCACGAUCGCCAGAGAACCGACGAUGGAUGGGCCGAUGUCGGACGGAGCCUCAACCUUCCCAAGGAAGUAGUCAAAUCGAAAUGGAAAAAUACGCGGGACCACUUCAACAAGAGUUCAAGAAGAUCCUGUCCUCGAAUGCUCAAACAAUGGAAGAUGCUGGCAUUGCAUAUCGUGGCAAGUGGCCUUACUUUCGGAGAUGCUAUUUCUCAAAGACAAAGAGAGACUUGCUGAGCUUGAAGAUGAUAGUAAUGAAACCCAUGAUGAU